rnacentral:misc_RNA from 1 species
UAUAAUCAAGUGACAUGAUUCUCCCA